AGCUCAAAUAACAAAAGGCAAGGAAUUUGAUCCAGCAAAAGCACAACAGGCUCCAGCAGAAGCUGCAAAAAGCAACAACGCCGAUAUAUUUAACCAUCAAUUCUUGGUGAAGGGCAGAAAGACCUAUGAAUUGUUCAGCACGCACAAGCCAAGGUGGCUUUCAACAAGCUUCAGAAAUCUGGCUUGCAGAGUUCAGGUUGAGCUCUCUGACGGGAAUAUGUGUGCAGCCACGGGCAAAAUUGAAAAUGCACGCGGACAUCCACCAACUACAAGAAGUCACUUCAUAGCCAGUCAUUUUGAUGAUUGUUUUGUAUUGCCUUUAAAUGUAUUUAUUUUACUGUACACCACCCUGAUGUCCUGUGGGAGGGCAAUGUACACUUUUAUAAAUAAAUAGAUGAAAUAAUG